GCUUUAAUCAGCUGUGCAUGGUUUCAUGUAUCAGUUUUAAUUUCAGCUGGUGCUAAUACUCGUAGUCCUAAAUUCUAAUAUUUCGAUGCCAACAAGCACAAGCUUUUCACAAAUAUAUGUGAAACAUUUUUUAAUAACUAGGUUAGACCUAAUCCAGAAUUACAACUUUCUAAAUUCCACCAUCCAGAUUCAUAUGCACGAAAUAAAAAUCAACCCAUUUUUAUUUAAGCAACACUUUAGAUUGGAUUAGAUGUGAGGGGGUAAAAAUAUAUAUAUAUAUAAAUUAAAUGAAAAAUCAAAAGGGAAAAGUCAAAGCCAUUAAAGCAUGACAGACACAAAGAAAGACUGGGCUCUUGAGCACCUUCUAGUGGCGAAAUCACAAUCCAACCCUUUCUUUUGAACCAACAACCAUGGCUCCAAAUCUCAUUAUCAGGGUAGAUAGCCUAAAUCCAUUAACUUAUAACUCAAUACAGGGAGAAGGAGAAGGAGGUGGUGGUGUUGCAUACAAAUGCCCGUUACAGACAAUAUAAGAUUCAUUCAGGCCCAAUCCCUAAUUGGCAUCAUAUUACAACAGUACGGCUUCUACACUGAAAAGAGCGAGUAUAACCAAUAAUGUGUCACUUAGAGGAGACAGAAAUGAGAUGGAUUGAAGAAACCUUUCAAUGGCUUGAAAUCUCUUUCUGCUUUGUAUGAAUUCAAAAGCAGAAGUGGACUACGGAGCAUUGAUGGCAUCAUAACAGCAAAACAAAUUAUACAAAUAAAAACUUUUUUCAAUAAAAAGUCAAGAUGGGAAAACUAGCUUAAAUCCAAAAGUGUAUUUAAUGCUAAAGAAUAGUUUUACUGUUUACAGGACAAACUAAUUUUGGGCAGCAGGAAAUAAUGCUCAGCUAUACACACAUACAUACAAAAAAUGUGUGCUUGCAAGAUCGAUCAUCUCAAAGUGCUGAUGAGGCAUGGCUGUAAUGCAACAGUGUAAAUUCAUCUGUUUAUCUGUGUGUAUGUGUUUGUUUCAACCAGCUGGAAAUUAUAAAAUGUAAAUCACGUUUAUCUUUGGGUUAUAAUGACCAACAUAACGAAAGUAACGGGUUGUACUAUAAACUGCAGGUGUUUUCAUCCUGUGAGACCACAAAAGGAAAUCCCUUUCUGUUCUCACAGGGUAAAAACACAUGCAACUUAUAGUACAAAAAAGUAGCAUAAAUGUAUAGUAUAUUUUUGCUUUCAGUACAUUUAGAAGGAUAGAUGUAAAUAUAUUCUUGUGGCAGAGACACACAGUGAGUGAAUAAUGAGGAAUGAGUGAGGGAGUAAAAUGAUGGUGUGAGUGAAUAAGUGAAUGAAGGCGAGUAAAGGAGGAAGUGAGUAAAUGAAGUGGAGUGAGGAAGUGAGUGCAGGAGUGAGGAAGUGAGUGAAGGAGGUGUAUAUCAGGGAGAUGUAGAUUUCGCCUCCGCACAUUUACUCCAUUCACAGAGCCUCUCACUGGUCACGUGACUCCCAGCAGGUCCACGCUGCCGCCACACAGAAGCGGAUCAGAUGUGCGUGUGAUGAGCCCAAACAUUUAAAAAACCCUGCUGUAUCUACUUUAAACUUGCUUUAAAACGUUUUAAUCGAGUGUGAUUUAAACCGCGUCGUGUUCAGAUACAGGGGGGCAAAAAAAAGAGAAAAGCGGCGUGACUCAAAUGGCGCGCAACACGUUUCCUCCUCGCUGUUUACCUUCAUGUCAAGCGCGCGCGCGCCCUCGCUUUCUCUCUCGCGUGCGUCGUUAAUGUUCGCAUCAGCCGCGAAUCCUGCGUAAACAGCGCGCGGUUCAUAGAGCACCAGCACGAGCGCGCUGUACAAGUCUACAAGCGCGCGACAAUGACCUGCUUUAAACUUUACUUUCCUCCCUUUUCUUCUCCGUCAGCGGAGCGGGGGGGGGUAAAAACGUGGGCGCAACGUUGUGCGCAAGCCGCGAUGUAGGAGCGUUUACAGAACUAAACUAAAUCCGGCGGACCGCUUAAACAUGACAUUCGAGUUAUGAAAAUGCUCAAAGAUUUAACACUAAUAUGGAUUUCUAAGCCUUAAUUGCAUGUGUAUUCGUAAGUUCGCAUGUGCGUAUUAAACGUCGUUACAUUGUUCACUCGGCCCUGGUGACGCGCACGAUGAUUGGCGGAAUCGUCUGACGCGUGCGACUUCCUGCGCUCUGAUUGGCUCAAAUGUCUGUCAGUCAUCUCGAAGCGGCCUCCUUUCGGCCUAGUCGGCGGUGCACACGGGACUGUCGUAAUAAUGACUCUCGAAGACAAAACGCCAACUUCACCGAAAAGUGUUCAGUGUUUGAUGCUACAGCUCCUAGGAGAACGCGGUUCUGCAGGAAGCGGACAUUCCUGACUCUCGGAGCGCUCACUUACACCGGCUUUUGUACAGAAGGAUUCCUGCGUGCCCGCUGGCAGCGGAUCACAUGUACUGAACACAAGAGCCUCCUGUCUGUAACGGUUCAGUGUUUGGAGUCGUCGUCGACACUGCACCCAAGCGACGUCUAGCGGCCAAAUGACGCAUUAUUAAAGUCCUCCUUUCUCCGUCUGACCACUAGAGGCCGCUGAGGUCAAUGUGACAUUGUGUAUCGAUGACAAACGUUCGAUGUUGUUAAAUGAUCUCUAAAUAUCUUCUUCUUUCAGCUGUUCCCGUUAGGGAUCGCCACAGCAUAGUGCUGUUCUCUACAUCUGCACCACACUGCAACUCAACUUGAUGACUUUUGUCCCGUCGCACUCACCCAUGUCAUCGCAAAGUGCUUCGAAAGACUGGUCCUCACUCACUCUGGACCCAUACUAAUUUGCCUAUCACCCGAAUAGGUCAACCGAGGACGCCAUUUCCACUGUGCUUCAUUCUACCCUGAUUCACCUGUACAUGGACUUUAUUAUAAACAGACCACAGUCUGUUCGACUGAACAGUCACCUCCUCCAGUCUUACCCUCAGCACUAGGGUUCCUCAGGGAUGCGUAUUGUCCCCUCUUUUAUACUCCCCUUUCACCCAUCGCUGCCUGUGCCUCAAACAUCAUUAAGUUGACAUGCAGAUGACACCACGGUGGUAGGCCUGAUCAGAGGUAAUGAUGAGACAGCUUACAGGGAGGAGAUCCAGCACUUAGAAGACAAAGAAGGUCAUUGUGGAUUUCAAACGAGCUGGCAAUCGCACUCUUGCUCCCAUUCACAUCAGUUGAGCUGCCAUCGAGCUUGUACGCAGCUUCAGUUUCUUAAGAGUCCACAUUUCUGAGGAUCUCACCUGGUCUCCUGACUCUUCUCUCCAGAUUAGAAAUGUACAACAGCACUUGUAUUUUCUGAGGAGACUUUAAAAGUCCCAUCUGUGCUACAGGAUGCUGGAGAAUUCUUACCACUGUACCAUUGAGAACAUCCUCACAAACUGCAUCUCAGUGUGGUAAAGCAGCUGCACAGCUUCGGAACGUAAAAGGUCCUUCAGAGGGUGGUGAAAACCGCCCAACAAAUCAUUGGCACUUAGCUUCUCAUGUUGGAGGACAUUUGCAACAAACGCUGUCUGUAAAAGGCGAGGGGCAUCAUCAAAGAUACCUCUCACCAACCAUUCACCCUUCUCUCAUCGGGCAGAUGCUGCAGGUGCCUCAGAGCCGCACAAACAGACUAAAGAAUAGCUUUUUCCUGUGGCUAUUACUGCACUGAAAAACUGAUUAUACAAGUUUAACAAACUUCACUGCUGCACUGCUGUCACUUUCUGUGUAUAUUACACUGCUUUAUCCACUAUGCAUUUUGCCACCAUUCAUAACAUGUAGAUCAGUUCAUGAAGAUAAGAAGGAGCAAGGCAGAAGGCAACAAGAAGUAUGGGGUUAACGUGGAUGAGACAGAGGGAGUCAGUGAUGUAAACAUGAGAACAGAGACAUUCCUGAUCAUCAUCAUCUUUUCUCUGCUUGUGUUCUAUAUGGUGGAUGUUUAGCCUGGAUACAUUCAUUAGAAAACACAAUUUAAAAAUCUUUUGUAUUAAUAUAUUAAUAUGAAGUGAUGUCCAUUUACCAGCAUGACAUUAAAAUAGGUAGUAUAAUAGGUAGUAAUAGCACAAACUUCUUUACUUUAACUUGAGUGAAAAAGUGUAGUCAGUUCUUCAACUUUUACCAGAGAGUCUUAAAACACGAGUACGGUAUCUGUACUUCUACUUGAGGAUAGGAUGUACGUGUUUUUGCCAUCUCUGUUGCAGAUACAAUAGUUAGCCAAUAGAGGAUAACCAUACAUCCUUUGUUUUUAUUCUUCCUUUUUUUAGGUCAUGUGAAGGGAAAGAACAUUUGACUCAGCCAGUCAUAAAACUUGUCCAAAUUGUCUGUUUUCAUGGUGGAUGUGAAGGAAAAUGCUCCUCAUAAGAUCAUGUUAUCAGAACUAUUGAAGUCAGGCCAGUGUUAGCCAGAUACAACAUCCCAGGACAUUCAAAUCUCUUCAUAGUCUAAACUUAUAACCCCCUAAAAAUAAAAUAAAUAUUAAUUUAUCCCUAA